rnacentral:rRNA from 1 species
UACGUAGGGUGCGAGCGUUGUCCGGAAUUAUUGGGCGUAAAGAGCUUGUAGGCGGUUUGUCGCGUCUGCUGUGAAAUCUCAAGGCUCAACCUUGAGCUUGCAGUGGGUACGGGCAGACUAGAGUGUGGUAGGGGAGACUGGAAUUCCUGGUGUAGCGGUGAAAUGCGCAGAUAUCAGGAGGAACACCGGUGGCGAAGGCGGGUCUCUGGGCCGUAACUGACGCUGGAGGAGCGAAAGCGUGGGGAGCGAACAGG